rnacentral:lncRNA from 1 species
UGUUGUCACAAGUUAAAGCAAAUUAAUCAUACAAAUAUCAGACAUAACACACAAUCUUGGAUAAAAACAGAUGCAGUUGCUUCUGGCCAUCGUCCUGCCAGGCUUAAGAUGCUGAAUGUCACUAAUAAAGAGUAAAUGUAUCUAAUAAAAAUAGGGACUGAAUGUCAAUUACAGAAACAGCAGUUGUAUGCAACAAAGUUAUAUUGGACUAGUGAAUUGGAUGUUCUAGUACAGUUGAUCUUCCAAAUGCUAUUAAAACAAAAGAAAGUUCUCUAUAUAAACAACAAAGGUUUUAAAAAAGAUAUAUAAAACAAAGAACACACAUAUAUGAACAAAAUCAAACAAAAUGUAAGGUUUUUCUACCUCGUGCAAGUGCAGAAGUUUUUCAUUCGUCAAUUUCUCCAAAGACAAUGCAAGCUCCAUCGCUGUAUAGUUCAAAUGAUCAGCUAAUCAAUUGCUUCAUAUUCAACAUACAUCAAAAAGUUGCUGGGCAGACGCAAGUGAUAAAGGUGCCAAGACCACACAGGUCGUGUUUGCAUCAACUACAUUAGUACUUGGUUAUUGAUUUAUGUUAAUGACACUUAUUCUUCCGAUUAGGUGUUAACAUAAANNNNNNNNNNNNNNNCUUAUUCUUCCGAUCAGGUGUUAACAUAAAGUUAAAAAUAUAUGUACAUGUAUUCAAAAUAUGAGAUUUCCACCAUAAUUCAAGCAUGACUCAAGUACGCAUUACAUAAACAUAGAAGUGGACCAAUCUGUAAAAGGAAGCCUGACAAAUUUAUGAUUUCUAGAGAUUUGCCUACUGCAUAAUAUUUUUGAUUCUAUACACACGUGCAAAGUAUUGCAUCAGGUGUGAACCAAUAGCCAAUCAUUUGACAUAAUGCGGGAUCUGAUACUUUUGUAUAUAAGUUAUUCGCACUUCUCUCUUCUCUUAAAAGCUACUACCAAACUUCUACAAUUUUAUGCUCAGCUUUUACAAUUUUAUGCUGUCUCCAACAGAAAGACGAUAAGUAGAACAGGAAAGUCCAUAAAGAACAGAUGGUGCGUGUUCAUCGAAAACUUUUUAUUAGUACAAGUUGUACAACCAACACCAAAUAAGCACAACUAAGAAUAUAACACUAGAAAAGGUAACAAUACAGAGAACAGAGAAAUCGUACCAUA